CCUACGGGUGGCAGCAGUGAGGAAUAUUGGUCAAUGGACGGAAGUCUGAACCAGCCAUGCCGCGUGCAUGAAGACGGCUCUAUGAGUUGUAAACUGCUUUUGUACAAGGGUAAACCUGAAUACUUGUAUUCAGCUCAAAGUACUGUACGAAUAAGGAUCGGCUAACUCCGUGCCAGCAGCCGCGGUAAUACGGAGGAUCCAAGCGUUAUCCGGAUUUAUUGGGUUUAAAGGGUGCGUAGGCGGAUUGAUAAGUUAGAGGUGAAAUGUCCGAGCUUAACUCGGGAACUGCCUCUAAUACUGUUGGGCUAGAGAGUAGAUGAGGUAGGCGGAAUGUAAGGUGUAGCGGUGAAAUGCUUAGAGAUCAUACAGAACACCGAUGGCGAAGGCAGCUUACCAAUCUAUAUCUGACGUUGAGGCACGAAAGCGUGGGGAGCAAACAGGAUUAGAUACCCGGGUAGUC
rnacentral:rRNA from 1 species